rnacentral:misc_RNA from 1 species
AACUUUCAACAACGGAUCUCUGGGUUCUGGCAUCGAUGAAGAACGCAGCGAAAUGCGAUAAGUAAUGUGAAUUGCAGAAUUCAGUGAAUCAUCGAAUCUUUGAACGCACAUUGCGCCCUGUGGUAUUCCGCAGGGCAUGCCUGUUCGAGCGUCAUUAUAACCACUCACGCCUGGCGUGGUGUUGGGGCACGCGGUCCCGCGGCCCUCAAAUCCAGUGGCGGCGCCAGUAGGCUCUAAGCGUAGUAAUACUCCUCGCUAUAGGGUCCCCCUGGUUGCUCGCCAGAACCCCCCAUUUUUUCAGGUUGACCUCGGAUCAGGUAGGGAUACCCGCUGAACUUAAGCAUAUCAAUAAGCGGAGGCU